UUUUUGAGACAGAGUCUCACUCUGUCAGGCAACAGAGUGCAGUGGUUCGAUGUCAGCUAACUACAACCUCCGCCUCCCAGGAAGAAAUAUAAGAAAAAGAGGUCUAAGAAGAGCAGAAAAGAGUCCAGUGAUUCAAGCUCUAAAGAAUCCCAAGAAGAGUUUCUGGAAAAUCCCUGGAAGGAUCGAACAAAGGCUGAAGAACCAUCAGAUUUAAUUGGCCCAGAGGCUCCAAAAACACUUACCUCUCAAGAUGAUAAACCUUUGAACUAUGGCCAUGCUCUGUUACCUGGUGAAGGUGCAGCUAUGGCUGAAUAUGUAAAAGCUGGAAAACGUAUCCCACGAAGAGGUGAAAUUGGCUUGACAAGUGAAGAAAUUGCAUCAUUUGAAUGCUCAGGUUAUGUAAUGAGUGGUAGCAGGUAUGUUGUUGGCAUUAAGCUCAGUUUCCAUGAUUAGAUCUUUUUCUUCUUUUUUACUACCAGAAUUAUAUUUUGGUAAUUGAUUUUCAUUAAGUGACUGUUUCUUAUGAAAAGUAGAGUAUAAAUAUUGGUUUGAUAUUAGUGUUGUUAGUAUAACAUGGUUUUCUGCAAUUCCAAGUAUAUAUGCAACUCAGCCUCAAACUCAGCUAUAUCUCUGACUUCAAAGAAUCAAUCUUCCUAAUGUCCUUUCCUAGUUGGUAUUUGCUUACAGAUAUUUUAUCCACUGGAGGAUAUAGUUAAAUUCAGCUAUUUAUCACUGCCCCAUGAGGAAUGUGGCAGUUAGGAAAAUAUUUUCACAAGACAGUGUUUCCUGGUUACAAGUUUGUCUUCAGUUUUUUAUGGACCCAGAUUUCUGAGACUGAAUAACAGAAAAAGAUGAUAAAAGACAUUGGUCAGCUGAGAAUAUAUCCUGGCUAAUAAAUAAAUGAAUAAAUAAAUAAAUUUUAAAAAGACACUGGAUUCAGCAUGGGAAAUGAAUAUAAAAUUAGGAAAGAGAAAAGUUCCAGGAAGAACCAGGAGAAUGAGCAAAUAGGGCAGCAGUACUUAGAUCAAAUUGAAUUUUGGAUUCUUUAAAACUUGAUAAACUUUUUUUUUAAGUAGAUAACUAUUUUUAAAUGACACUGAAGGCAAAUAUUUGCAGAAACCCUGAAGCACCUCCAGAAUCUUGUAAUACUGAGGACCAAUAUUUGAAGCAUUGCAUUGGAGGACCCACACAGUAAGGCAAGAAAAAGAAAUUAGAGACACAAGGAUUGGAAAGGAAGGCUGGGCACGGUGGCUCAUGCCUGUAAUCCCAGCACUUUGGGAGGCCAAGGCAGGCAGAUCACUUGAGUCCAGGAGUUCAAGACUAGCCUGGGCAACAUGGCGAAACCCUUCUCUACUAAAAACACAAAAAUUAGCCAGACGUGGUGGUACACACCUGUAAUCCCAGCUACUCAGGAGGCUGAAGCAGGAGAAUCGCAUGAACCCAGGAGGCGGAGGUUGCAAUGAGCCAAGAUCACACCACUGCAUGCCAGCCUGGAGAGCAAAACUCAGCCUGAAAAAACAGUAAUAAUAAUAAUAAGGAUUGGAAAGGGCGAUAUAACAAUGUCAUUUUUUAGCCAGGCGUGGUGGCUCACGCCUGUAAUCCCAGCACUUUGGGAGGCAUAGUUGGGUGGAUCACCUGAGGUCAGGAGUUCAAGACCAGCCUGGCCAACAUGGUGAAACCCUGUCUUUACCAAAAAUACAAAAAUUAGCUGGGCAUGGUGGCGGACACCUGUAGUCCCAGCUCCUCAGGAGGCUGAGGCAGGAGAAUCACCUGAAUCCAGGAGGAGGUUACAGUGAGCCAAGAUCGUGCCAUUGCACUCCAGCCUGGGUGACAAGAGUGAAACUCCGUCUUAAAAAAAAAAUGUCAUUUUUUUGUGAAUGACAUGGUGAAUGAUUUGAUUGUUUACAUAGAAAAUCCCAAAGAAUCUCCAGAUAAAUUAUAAAUGAGAGGAGGGUUUAACAACUGGUUGGAUAUAAGGUUAGUACACAAAAAUCCAUUGCAUUUCUAUUUACCAGCAACAGACAACUAGAAAAUGUAACUAAAUAAGAAGAAAACAUUUGUAAUAGUAUCAGAGAAUAUGAAGGACUUCAGAAUAAAUCUUAACAAAAGAUGCCCAGGGCUCUGUGAGGAAAACUAUAAAACAUUAUUAAGAGAUUGUGUAUUCAAUACAGUUCCAAUAAAAAUGAACUGCAUUUCUAUUUACUAACAACAGAAACCUAGAACCUUGAACGUUUAUAACAGUGUCAGAAUAUGAGAGACUUAAGAAUAAAUCUUAACAAAAGAUGCCCAAGGUUCUAUGGGGAAAAAUGUAAGACAUUAAGAGUCCAUAUCUUCAAUAUAGUUCCAAUCAAAAUCACAACACAGUUGUUUAUGAGACUUAUUAAGCUGGUUCUAAAAUUUAUAUAUUACACUAAAAGGACAAGAAUAGCCAGGUCACUUCUGAAGAAGAAGAGCAAGAAGGUAAGAUUAAAGAAAACUUAAAUAGCUGGAGAGAUACCAGGUUCACGGAUAGGAAGGCAAUAUUGUAAAGUUGUCAUUUCUUCCCAAAUUGAUCUUUAUAUUCAAUACAGUCCCAAUCAAAAUCAGAACACAGUUUUUCAUGAAACUUAAUAAGCCAGUUCUAAAAUUUAUAUACUAGACUAAAAGGACAAGAAUAGCCAAGUCACUCCUGAAAAAGAAGAGCAGGAAGGUAAGAUUUCCCCUACAAAUAGGAGGACUUAUUAUGAAGCUUACAGCACUUUAGAAAGCAUAGGAGAACAACUGAAUUGUUCAGUGGAAUAAAAUUCAGGCCGGGCGUGGUGGCUCAUGCCUGUAAUCCCAGCACUUUGGGAGGCUGAGGCGGGUGGAUCACCUGAGG
rnacentral:lncRNA from 10 species